rnacentral:tRNA from 1 species
GCCAACACUGGCCCAUGGCAGAGCUGCUGGAUCGCGUUCGGCAAAGACCCGAAUCGUUUUUCCACCAACUGUGAUGGUGUCAUCGGUGUAGGUA